rnacentral:rRNA from 1 species
AGCGAACGCUGGCGGCAGGCCUAACACAUGCAAGUCGAACGAAGUCUUCGGACUUAGUGGCGGACGGGUGAGUAACACGUGGGAACGUACCUUUUGGUUCGGAACAACUCAGGGAAACUUGAGCUAAUACCGGAUGAGCCCUUAGGGGGAAAGAUUUAUCGCCGAAAGAGCGGCCCGCGUUAGAUUAGCUAGUUGGUGAGGUAAAGGCUCACCAAGGCUACGAUCUAUAGCUGGUCUGAGAGGAUGAUCAGCCACACUGGGACUGAGACACGGCCCAGACUACUACGGGAGGCAGCAGUGGGGAAUCUUGCGCAAUGGGCGAAAGCCUUACGCAGCCAUGCCGCGUGAAUGAUGAAGGUCUUAGGAUUGUAAAAUUCUUUUACCAGGGACGAUAAUGACGGUACCUGGAGAGAAAGCCCCGGCUAACUUCGUGCCAGCCGCCGCAGUAAAAC